rnacentral:rRNA from 1 species
UACAGAGGUCCCGAGCGUUGUUCGGAUUAACUGGGCGUAAAGGGUGCGUAGGUGGUGAGGUAAGUCGGAUGUGAAAGCUCCAAGCUCAACUUGGAAAUGGCAUUGGAAACUACCUUGCUAGAGGGUUUGAGGGGGGACUGGAAUACUUGGUGUAGCAGUGAAAUGCGUAGAUAUCAAGUGGAACACCAGUGGCGAAGGCGAGUCCCUGGAAAACUCCUGACACUGAGGCACGAAAGCUAGGGGAGCAAACGGG